rnacentral:rRNA from 1 species
AACGAACGCUGGCGGCAUGCCUAACACAUGCCAGUCGAACGAGACCUUCGGGUCUAGUGGCGCACGGGUGCGUAACGCGUGGGAACCUGCCCUUAGGUUCGGAAUAACUCCCCGAAAGGGGUGCUAAUACCGGAUAAUGUCUUCGGACCAAAGAUUUAUCGCCUUUGGAUGGGCCCGCGUUGGAUUAGCUAGUUGGUAGGGUAAAAGCCUACCAAGGCGACGAUCCAUAGCUGGUAUGAGAGGAUGAUCAACCACGGUGGGACUGAGCCACGGCCCAGACUCCUACAGGAGGCAGCAGUGGAGAAUAUUGGACAAUGGGCGGAAGCCUGAUCCAGCAAUGCCGCGUGAGAGAUGAAGGCCUUAGGGUUGUAAAGCUCUUUUACCGGGGAUGAUAAUGACGGUACCGGAAGAAUAAGCUCCGGCUAACUCCGUG